rnacentral:misc_RNA from 1 species
GGUGGUUCUCCUUGUUCUAGCUCAUUUAUAAUUCGGAUGGAUGAGUAUAACCACUGGCGCUCAGUGCAUUCAUCCUAAGUGGGGUACAAUAUGAAUUCCCAUCCUCUUCAUAGUUAAGCCAACUCAUAUAAGAAUAACUGAAUUCCUUUUAAAUUUUUAUGUGAGAUGUAUGUAUUCUCGAAGUAAUCAUUUUGCUUAGGCAACUAAGAGGUAGUAUAUACUUAAAAUGGCAUCGAGGCAA